rnacentral:lncRNA from 1 species
GUUCUUUAGAGCUGGGUGGUGGAGCAGUAGUACCACCAACAGCAUAUGUAAUGGUGCAUGACUCGCAGCUAUUAGAUCAAAUCACUGGCCAAUCUGAUGUGUACCCUGGAUUUUAUUCUUUCUAAAGCCCCUACCCCCAAGCAAAAAUGAGUGCAAAAAAAAAAAAAAAAUUAGAAGAGCUAAAUGGAAAAACAGGCCACUUGGAAUGCUCUUGAACAAAUGUACUGUUUUCACUCGUUCGGGACCCAAAUACAUCAUCUAGGCUCUUUUCGCACCUAAAAGUUGCUAUCUGGUUAAUAUUUCAAAACCUAAGUCUCGCUCUAAUUGUCUGUGACUGUGGGAUAAUUGCAAGUGGGCACCGACAGCUUUUUCACUGUUGGGGAAAGAAGAGACACGAGAAGCUGCAGUCUUUGGCGGGGGGAUGGGAGGUGGAGGGAAUCCUGGAAGGGAAUAUCCUUCGGAGAGGAGGAGGCAAGUGCAGGGAAAGGAAAGACCGAGAGGAUGCUGUAAACGCUAACACGGCGAUUCUUAACCAGAAGUUACGACAUUUUCUUUUGCCAAGGGGCUCUCCAGUCCCAGCUUCGAGGGGACCAAAGCCUCAGCCAGGGAAGUAUCUGCAGCGUUCGAACAAAUCGGCGACAGGAAGGAGCAGUGCCAAGGGGUACUUAAGGAGAAAAAACUGUAUUAGUGUGAAGCCAACCUUUGCCUGCUGCCACUCAGUGUGGAAAUUCCAGGCAGCCUCCCUGCCCUUACACACACGCGAACACACACACACACUUUGCUGCACUCAGCGUUCAAUAAGCCAACAUUUAGAGAACGACGCGUUCGCGGGGUCCCUCGCCGCCCCCGCGUGCGCGUGCACAGACACUCACUUCCCAUCCCUUCCACGUUCUGCGAGCAGUCUCAGCACCACCAACGGCCCGAACCCAGGCACCGCGAGGUCCACGGAGACGACGCUCUCUCCCCUGAGCAGCACCUCGGCUUGGGGGCAGUCUCGGGGCACGUCCUGCACCCGCUUCCCCGACCCCGGCAACGCCAACUGCGCGAAUCCCCGGGUUGGGUGACUGCUCGCGGGUCUAACCCGAAAGCCGAGAAACCGCGCCGCGGCGGGAUUCCGGGCAACAACCGCGUCCCCGCUGGUCCCCGCUGGUCCCCGCUUCGCACCGCGCACUCAGUCUGCACUGCGCCCCGGCUGCCCCGAAGGUCCCAGCCUCGCCGACCGGAUCGGCAGCCCCCGAGUCUCCAGACUCCCGCUGCUCCGGGGCUCCCGAUCUCAGCGCCCCGGGACCAAGCCGGUGCGCCGCCGGCCGCUCUUCGCGCUCCGGCCACGCUCCGUCUCCGGGCUUUACACACGGGCGCACAGACACGCACCCUCCCUUCCCUCGCCCCAGCACGCACACUUGCGCCCCCCGGGAGUUGCCCGCCUCCUCCCGCACCGCCAGAGGCAGCCCCCUACGCGCCCGCGCGUCCCACUGCCGGGGGCCGGCCAGUGGAUGCCCCGGCUCCCUCUAGCCGCCCCCCCUCCGGGGAACCCGAGACGCUCGGCGCUUACAGUUCGCAGGAACUGGAUCUCAUCCUCGCCCUCGCCCCCAUCGGCCAUGGCUCUGCUCCUUCUCGCAGGGGCCGGCUCCCGAACCCCGCGGAGCCCGGCGUCGUUGGCGGUGGCGGUCCCUCGCUCUGUCUGCUGCUGCUGCUGUUUCUGCUGCCGGGAGCCGGGGGCGGGAGGGGUCCGAGGCUGCUGGGUGCCGAGCGCCAGGCGGUCCCCGCCUGCAGAGCGGAGGAGGAGGCCGGCGGGCGGGGGCGGCGGAGGCGGGANCCUCCCUGCGCCGCACUGUGCGGGAGGAGGGCGACCCGGCCCGGAGGACGCGGGCAAGCGGCCCCGCAGCCCCGCCGCGCUGGCUUCGCGCGCCCCGCCUGCCGCAGGCGGACUGCUCGGCCCCGGCUCCUCCGAGCGAGUGCGCUGAGCUGGCGGAGCCCGGGUGAGUGCCGCGGUGGGGGCGGGGAGUGGGGGCGGACGGCGGGGAGGAGCUCGCCGGCUCCCCUCUGCUGCAGGUAAUCCGCAGCCCGCUCCUCGGGGCCACCAAAUCCGAGGCCCAGCGCCGCUUACUGGCCGCUCCCGGUAUCGGAGCCGGAGCACACCCGAUGAGCGCGCAACCUUCCCGCUGCGCCCUUCUUGUUUCCCUGGGCUCCUGCACCUGCGGCUUCUGACCUUAAACCAGCUCUCACGAUUGCUUCUCCUGUGCGAGCGGAAGGGACUCCCACAGUACUUUCCGCGGCACUUCAGAUCUCAGGCAAGAAUCAUCUUUCACCCGGAUGCCCGGAGUGGAUCACCUCCAAGUAAAGGUGAUUUUAGACUUAGAUUAGCUCUGUUCCCGGAUCAUCAUGAGAAUUCAUUAGGAUCUAGUGUCGGUGCACCAUGCUCCUCACAGAUCAGACACACAAAAUGCAUGGUACACAGAACUGUAACAAACUCAUUCAACAAAUACAUGGUGAAUCCCUGUGCCAGAUACUGGAGAAUAAACA